ACGAACGCUGGCGGCGUGCUUAACACAUGCAAGGCGAACGGAAAGGCCCUGCUUUUGUGGGGUGCUCGAGUGGCGAACGGGGGAGUAACACGUGAGUAACCUGCCCUUGACUUUGGGAUAACUUCAGGAAACUGGGGCUAAUACCGGAUAGGAGCUCCUGCUGCAUGGUGGGGGUUGGAAAGUUUCGGCGGUUGGGGAUGGACUCGCGGCUUAUCAGCUUGUUGGUGGGGUAGUGGCUUACCAAGGCUUUGACGGGUAGCCGGCCUGAGAGGGUGACCGGCCACAUUGGGACUGAGGUGCGGCCCAGACUCCUACGGGAGGCAGCAGUGGGGAAUAUUGCACAAUGGGCGGAAGCCUGAUGCAGCAACGCCGCGUGCGGGAUGACGGCCUUCGGGUUGUAAACCGCUUUCGCCUGUGACGAAGCGUGAGUGACGGUAAUGGGUAAAGAAGCACCGGCUAACUACGUG
rnacentral:rRNA from 1 species